rnacentral:lncRNA from 1 species
UCCAAGAUGGUGUAGCAGGUGAAAGUGUGUCUGGUGAUGCACUUAGCUUCCUUUGAGACAGGAAAAACUCCCACACUUGUUAGGGAAGUGAAUGAGAUGUGUCAGUAUUGUGCAUCUUGGCACUAACAAUGUCAAUUUGUGCCUGGGAUUAUGGGACUCCAACUCUCCUCAUUUUCUACCAGGAAUGGCAUAAAUUGUAGCUGUACACCCACUAUUCGAGGCAGAAGUAGACACUGUCAACAGCUUCUCCUUUGCAUUUCAAACAGGCACGUGGGAGAAGGAGGGAGAGGCUACGGGGUGACGUUUCCUGUUCAGGAAAAGACGAACGGCUGUUCUGGCACCUGUUAGUCCAUCCUGGCAUGUAAAAGUUAAUUGGAAGGAAAGGACAGUAUUCAAUGACUGCUAAGCUCCACCUCACCCUUUAUGUGCAAAUGUUCCAGGUACACAACUUCUGAAAGGCCAAAAUAAUCUUUAAAUCUUUAUUUCUGUUAUUUCAUGGAGGAAUCUUUUUCUAUCCACUCUCUAGAUUUUGGAAUGUACAAUAUUAUUGUAUCACAUCAAAAGUUGUCAAGUAGACAGAAUGCCAGGCAGCAAAGAAAAUUGAGAGCCACAUUUAAACCUACAGUAGAUGUUCCUAUGUGUUGCCAAAAUACCAUUUUAUAAUAAAUGAUUCCAGACAUUGGUCCAUCAUUUCAUAACUGCUGUGCAACCUAUCUUAAUGAUGUUGAUGGGAUGCUGCACCCUGAAACAGGCUUUAGUUCUCUCUUUGGGUGGAAAAUAUAUCCUCUUCUUAGGAGUGGCUUUAUACACCUGAAGCUUAUGGGUAGACAGAAGCUUAAGGAGGAAGUAAUAUCUGCAAAGAAAAAAGAAUGGACAGUUUUCCUCGCUUUGCUUUGCUUUAAACAUGAAGUAGCAGAAACGCAGACAGUAUUAGACACAUUUUUUUUCCAAGUUAAGUGCUCAUAA